GCCUUUGGUGCUACUGUCUUUCCCUCUAGUUUUUAUUCCCAAUGCUUCCCAUUCUUAGUAGUAUGUAGAUCUCAGUUUCAGAAGUCUUCUAUAAUUGUUCGGCAUGUAGUACAUCACUGCUCCUAUAGUAGACAUCACUUAUCAAUCUCCCCAAAAGACAACCAAGUUAUAUCAGACUCAAUGCUAGCACUAGAUCGACCUAUAUAAGACGAGCUAG
rnacentral:lncRNA from 1 species